rnacentral:rRNA from 1 species
AGUCACUGACAUUAGAUACCCGUGUAGUCCAGGGUGUUAAACGCUGCAGACUUGGUGUUGGGGGCCCUUUGGGGGCAUUCAGUGCCGGAGAGAAGUUGUUAAGUCUGCUACUUGGGAGUACGUCCGCAAGGAUGAAACUUAAAGGAAUUGGCGGGGGAGCACCGCAACGGGAGGAGCGUGCGGUUUAAUUGGAUCCAACACCGUAAAACUCACCAGGGAAGACUGUUACAUGAAGGCCGAGAUGAAGACUCUGCUAGAUUUUCAG